AGGCUUGAAACAGGUCCUGGGCUUUGGCGUGCUUGGGGUUCCUUCGAGGCAGGUGCCCAGUCACACACAGCCUCAGGAUUGGGCCGCCAGCUGGCCCUGGUCAAGCCCUCCGCAUCAGGGCUUCAGGAGCCUGGGGGAAAUUUCCUUCUUGUCUUUCUACAUGAGCAUGGGGGUUUGAACAGAGAGGUAUGGCUGAUCCAGAAAUACCUGGCUUGAGACUCUUUUCCAGAAUUGGCGAGUGAAGCUUGACUUCAGGAACACUUGGCUUCUGGUUGUGCAAGGGAUCUCUACAUCCUCCUCUUUCCCACUCCACCUGAGCCACCUACGCCUCUUCGGGGGACCCUUGUGCCAAGAAACCUACUUUGUGCCAGAUCAAGUGAAUGAAGCCUGGGAUUCUGGAUCUCAAGAUCUCCUCAAACUUCUUCCCUCACACCCAAGUCUCUUCCCCCCCUAGGAGUCUCCUGGUGCAUGGAACUGACCAGAAACUGGAGUUCCCCCAAAGCCUCUGUCUUCCUUCUGUAGCUGAGCUGCUUCAGCCUCUGUGGGACACCCAUUUGAAGGAACCUGUCUAAAUCCAUGUAAGAGAUCUCCUAUUUUUUCCCUCCCACCUGAGACUCUUCCUCCUCUGCCAGACACCUGUUCCAAGGAAGCUCCUGCAACAAGGGUGUGGGCUUGUGUCAUGAAGGUUGAGUAUCCAGGGUGACAGUGAAGAAUCCUACUCCCACCGCAAGAGUGGAUUUAAGUGUUCCUGAGAGGAAGAGGAGUAAGACAUCUUGUUGGCCUGUGCCCCAGGUCAGUGCAGACCAGAGUUUUGCUGUGGGAGGCAGAGGAAGGGCUGAGAGUCGCUGUUAGAGCACAUGUCCACCAGAGGGCACCAGAGCCCCUCAUCGCCUCUCUGCAGCUCCCUGUUUGUAUCUCCAGGCUCAGAAGGGGAUGGAAGAGGGAUGCAUGGAACCUCAAGGAGGGACCCAGAGCCCGGUGUUUGUUUGCAUGGUGCCUCUGACAUUGUGGCCCCAUUUGCCUCAAUGCAGGGAGGGGACACAUUUCUGCCAUUAAAUAUCUAAUCAAUUCCUAUUUGGUUGGGUGGCCCCAACUUUAGGGAGUUUGAUAGGCUCUCUGGUCUGUGUGUCCUUUGCUUGUUUGCAAGCAGAACUCUGGACCCAGAAACACCUGGCUUCAAUGGUGGAUGUUCAGUUUUCUAGAAUCAGCCUGGUGGGGAGUUUGUCUUCUGAAAAGGUGGACUUCGGUGAUGAAUGGGGUGUGUCUGUGCUGUUGUAUUUUGGGGGUGGGUGGGCUAUGCUCUUUUUCUCCAAAGAUGCCCACCACCUUCAUAUUUCCACUGUCCCUGAGCCACUUCCACCUCUGCAUGACACCCAUUUGAAGGAAGCUCUCUCCAUCCACGUAAGGUGAAUCACGGCUGGGUUGUUUAGUGUUCCAAGGUGAGUCCUGGAUAGGUAGGCUGCUCAUUCAAAGCCCACUGGCCUGACUUAAAUAGGAGGGGUGCUGAUUUUAGGGAGUGGAUAAAUGUGGGUGGGGUGAGGGGCCUGGCUGACAAUGCGACAGUCUCUCCCCACCCAUCAUGCAUUUGAGUGUGCUGAGAGGGAAAGCAGUAAGAAAGUCACCUGACAGCUUCCCCAGGCCUGGGCAGAGCAGGGUUCGUCUGUGGGAGGCAGAUGAAGGGCUGAGACUUGCUGUUAGGGCCUCUGUCCACCAGCCUGAGCUGGAGCAAUAGCAGAGCUUCCCCAACCCCCACCUACUCUCACCACAAUGGCCAUGUCACCAGUCUCAGACUCAGAGUGCAAAUGGUUGGUGGAGGCCCAAGUGCAUACGCAGACAUUUGUACUUGGGUACUUGGUGCCUCCUAUGCUGCAACCCAAUGUACCUCAGCUCAGAGGAGGAUUAAGUUUCAGCCACCAUAUUUCAGGUUCAAUCUAUGCAUGAUCAGGUGGCCCAAUGGUGGGAGAGUUUGACAGGCUGCCUUGGGUCUGAGUGCCCUUUGCUAGUUUGAAGCAUAUCACUGGACCCAGAAACCCCUGCCUUAAAUCUUGGGCAUGCAGAGUUGUUAAUCAGCCUGGCAUGAUAUUUGGCUUCUGGAAAGCUGGGCUUUUGUCAGGAAUGCAGCACAUUAAUGUGGUGGUGCUGUGGGGGAAGGUCUCAGCUUCUCCCUGUGCCUUUCUCUCUAGAGAGCUCCACCUCCUUCUUCCUCCUGUUCCACCUGAGCCUCCUCCUCCUCUGUGGGAGACCCUGUCAAGGAACCUACCUCAAUUCAGGGAAUGUGAAUGAUGCCUGGGAAGUCCUGAUCUCAAGCCAGGUGCAGGGCUUCAGGGUGCUGAUGGAGGCCACCUGGUUCCCUUAACUUACUAAGGUGACUGAUUUCAGGGAGUUGGGUGGUCUCAGUUGGGGUGAGGGCCCUGGCUGACUCUGAGAUAGUCCCCCCCAUCAUGCCUUUCAGUGCACUGUGAGGGAGAGGACUUAGGAAAUCAGGCUGGCAAGGGGCCCAGGCUUCUGUGGGAGGCAGAGGGAGGCUUGAGAUUGUUAGAGUGAUGGCCACCAGAUGCACCAUAGAACCAGAGUGCCCACCCCCUUCAUCACCUGGACUUCACCUUCAGGCCCCCAGGCAAGAUUGGUGAUGGGCCCUUGGUCCAGUGGCCCAAUGGCUAGAGAGUUUGACAGGCUAACUCGGGUCUGAGUCCUCUUGGAGGUUUGGAGGCACAACUCUGGACCCAGAAAUACCUGGCUUGGAUUUUGGCCCUACAACUUGCUAGAAUCAGGCUGGUCCCUGUGGAAUUGUACUUCCAGAAAGGUGGCCUUCUGGUUGUGAAGGCGCCAUGUCAGUACAGUGGUUUUGGGUGCAGACUGUGCUCAUACCUGUGCUCUUUCUCUCCAGAGAUCUCCUCAAGCUUUUCCUUCCCUCCCAACUGAUCCUCUCCCUCCUCAGCCAGACACCUGCUGCAGGGAGGUUACCUAAAACCAGGUAACUUUUACAAAGGCUGGAUGGUCCUUGGUUUCAUGCUGGGUCCCAGGGUUGAAGGGUGCUGACUGAUCAGGGGCUGCUCACAUGACUUACAAAUGGUGUCAAUGAUUUCAGGGUGUGGGGUGAGUUCUGGCUCUGAGAUUGUCAUACCCCAGCCCAUAGUGUACAUCUGUGCACUGAAAGGGAGAAGAGGAAGGAAAUCACACUGGCAGUGCCCCCAGACACUGCAGAGCAGACUUCUGCCGUUGGAGGCUGUCAGGGUUCAGAGUUGCUGUUAGAGCAGCACAUUCUAGUCAAAGGGCUCUAGAGAACCCCGGAGACCCUCCUCUCCUUCAGGCUGAAAUACGUGGUUGCCGAUUGUAUGACGAGACCCCACAGAAAUGCUUGGGGCUGGAAUGGGGUUACAGGGCGCCUCUUAUCAUCUGGCCAAUUUCUUUCACCUCAGGAUAUUGGCAUAAUUCUGCUCUCCCAUCUUUGGUUCAAAUUCAGUGUGUUUCUCUGAUAAAUGACCAGAAACUUGACAGACUCUCUGAGGGGACAAGCAAAUACCUGGCUUGAAUCUCAAAUGUUCAGGUUUCUGAAACCAGGCUGAUAUGACACUCUCUCCUCUUGUGUGUUCAGUUUGCUGAGGAAGAGGAAGAGGACAGUCACAUCAGUCUGUGCCCAAGACCAGUGCUUAAAACAUCAAUGUCCAAUCUUUAACACUGUUGUUUCUGGACCCAAAGGUCUGCCUCUGGAGAAACAGGGCCAGCUGAUCCAGGGAGCCUGUCACACUCUGGCCCUGGGGCACCAAUUUUUUGUCAUGCCCACCAGAUGCUGAGGGCACAGUUGUGUCCCUUCCCUGAGGUGAGUCCAUUUGGCCAGAGCCGUAGAAGCUCCCUGUUUCCAGCCCCAAACCUAUGAGCAUGUUCUGAGUGUCCCACAGUCCUUCAACUGCAGCUCUGAGCCUGGAGUCUCAGCCAGGCAUCUGCACAGGGGCUCUGCCUGAGCUGGGGUUCAGCCUGGUGACCUUCAGUCUAACACCAUCUCUCAGCCCUUCCACAUGUUUCUCAUCCACCCUAGAAGCUACCUGGGCCUUGGGCCUGGGCAGCUUGAUUUCACGCUGGCCUUGGGCCUGGGUUGCUGGAUUUCAUUUCUCCUCAGCUGUUGAGCCACACGAGUAUCUAGAUACUGGGGUAUUUCCCUCUCACAGCCUCCCUGAGUGCUCACCCCAACUUACCCCACCCCAACACAUAUCCCCACCAUUGGGUACUGAGAGCCUUCUUUAAAUCAGUCCCAGCUGCCUUCACUCUCAGGAUCUUCUCUUAGUUGUGCUCCUUGAAACAAUGAUUGCAGACAGGAUAUAGAGGUUCAGAUGGAAGGGGAAGAAAGAAUUCGGGGAGAACUCCUGAAAAAUAAAGCACAGAGAUUCCUGUCUGCCCCUCAAAAUAGCACCACUUUCACAAGUUCCAUUCAUGACGACCAGCCCCUUUGGACACAUGAUGCCUUUACAGAGGCUGCAGGCUUGGUAAUUGCAAGGCCAAGAUUCAAACAGAUAUUGUGGGCCCAGUGUCUUUGCCCCUUGAGAAACAGAAACAAACCAACCCCAGAGAACACAUCCACCUCUCUGGUGCCUGGGCAGCCAGAGCUGGAUGGACCUACCCAUCAGAUGCAGAAAACACACGUCUUUCUUCUCCCUGAUGUGAAUCUAUUUGUGACAAAGAGUCAGUGGUGCCCUGUGAGCCAUCUUAACACAUCCUGCGCUCCCACUAACCCCUCUUGGCAACACCUCGUAGCCUGGAGGUGAAGCCAGUGGGUUUCAGAUGGGCUUUGUCUGUGCUCUGGCCCCAUCAGGAGGCCGUCUCCUCUAACACUGACUCUCAGCCUUUCCUCCUGUUUCCCUCAGCAGACCCCAAGGGCUCUCCUGGCCUUGGACAGCUGCCAGCUUGAUGGAAUUCCUCCUCACCUUCUAAGCCCAGUGAAGUGCCCAGAGAGAGGGGCAAUUCUCUCAUAGACUCCCAGCACACACCCCCACCCCAACUUAAUGCAUUAAAAUCCUUUUAAUUACCCUACUUUAAUUCCUGAGAAUCACCUUUAAGUCUGCUCCCUGAAACAGGGCUUGGGGACAGGAAAACGGGGCCCCAAAGAAAGAGAGGAGGGAAUUUGGGGGAGGGAUCUUGAAGCGCAAAGCCUAGCGAUUUGUACAGUCACCCGGUGGAACCAGCACCACUGUUAUGUGAUCCAUUCAUGACCACCAGCCCCUUUGCCUCAUGACAAUGACCUGGGGGGGGGCUUGGCAAUUGCAAGGCCAAGAUUCAAGACAGUCAUUUUGGUUCCAGAGUCCUGCCUCUGAGAAACAAAAAGCAAUCUAUCCCCAGAGAACCUUCCAAACUCUCUGGCCCCUGGGCCACCCAGGCAGGCUGGAAAUGCCCAUCAAAUGCUGAAGGCACAGCCAUGUCCCCUCCCUGAGGUGAAGCCUUUUGGGACAGAGUAUUGGAGGCACCCCAAUCACCCCCAAACCUAUGAGCCUGUGCUGAGUGCACCCACAUUCCUUCUUCCACUCAGGCUCUGAGCCUGAAUGUGCUGCCAGGCAGCUGCAGAAGGUCUCCACCAUGGCUCCGUGUGGCCUGGUGACCAUCUGCUCUAACCCCAUCUCUCAGCCCUUCCUCCCUGUUCCCGCAGCAGCCCCUGAAGCUACACUCUCCUUGGGCCCUGGCUGCUUGAUUUUAUUGCUCCUCAGCCACCCAGAACAGUGAAGUACCCCAGACACUGGGUCCUUCUCAGUCUCCCAGAGCCCGCACGGAGCCUAUCCGAUCCUCAGACAUCCAAACCCUCUGCCUUCUGACCCACUGCGUCUUGAGUCUUUAAAUCAAUCCGCUUUCAUUCGCAAGACCUGCCUUCAAGUCAGCUCCUUGCGAUACAGAGGUAGAGGCCAGAAAAAAAAGCUCAGAUGGAAAGUGAGGUUUGGGGAGACAGGGUCUUGAGGAAGAGACCCAGGGCUUCUCCAGCCACCCCCAGAAUGAGCGCCGGGGCUCUAAGCUCUGUUCAUGAGCACCCGCCCCUUUCACAUGGGACGACCUCAGGAGGCUGGCGGCUCGGAACCUGUACGUCUGGGACUCAGGACACAUAUUUGCGAGUCCAGAGUCCUGCCUCUGAGAAAACAAAGGCUGUGUUUUCUCCCACCAACAGCUCACAGCCUUCACUUCUCAUUCCCUUGGCGGCUAAGCAGGACGUGCUGGCGUCUGACCCCUGCCAGCUGGAUGUCCUUCCUCCUCCCCUUUUAGCGCAAGGACUGCCCAGCACCCAGGCCUUUCCUUCUCACAGGCGCCCAGCGCACUCACCUCGGCCGCCUCUGCCCCAAGCGUGAGAGUCCCCGCCUCCCCGCCUCUUGGUUCCCAAGCGCCUUGUUUAUUUCAACCACCUGCGUUCAGGGCGGCUCCCAGAAACCCGCUUAGAAACAGGGAAAAUCUUAAAUGGAAGCACAGUUAGAAAUGCAGGUAGAACUCUUGAGAGACAAGGCACAUAGAUUGGCACAGCUGCCACCAAAAUAUUGCCCCUUUAACAUGCUCCAUUCACAAACACCCACCUUUUUUUUUUUUUUUUUGCUUUUUUUAGGGCCACACAUGGAGAUUCCCAGGCUAGGGGUCCAAUCAGAGCUACAGCUGCUGCCUAUACCACAGCAAUGCAGGAUCCAAGCUUUGUCUGUGACCUACAGCACAGCUCACAGCAACACCAGAUCCCUAACCCACUGAGAGGCAAGGGAUCCAACCAGCAAACCUCAUGGUUCCUAGUCAGAUUCAUUUCCACUGUGACACAUUGGGAACUCCCGCAUUUUUUUUUUAACAUAACACUUCAUUGGAGUUCCCGUCAUGGCUCAGUGGCUAACGAAUCUAACUAGGAACCAUGAAGUUUCAGGUUCGAUCCCUGGCCUCUCUCAGUGGGUUAAGGAUCUGGUGAGCUGUGGUGUAGGUUGCAGACAUGGCUCAGAUCUUGUGCUGCUGUGGCUGCAGUGUAGGCCGGCGGCUGAGGCUCCGAUUCGAAUCCUAGCCUGGGAACCUCCAUGUGCCAUGGGAGCGGCCCAAGAAAUGGAAAAAAGACAAAAAAAAAAUAACACUUCAUGGAGGCUCGAGGCUCCUGUAAGCCCAGGAUUCAGACAGAUAUUUCAAAUCUGGAGUCCUGCCUUUUGAGAAAGAAAAAGCAAUUUGACCCCAGAGAACUUGGCAAACACUCUGGCCCCUGGGCUACCUGACUGGGCUCGACAUUGACAUCAGAUGCUGAAAGCACAGGCCUAUCCCCUCCCUGAGGUUAGGCAAUUUAGGCCAGAGCAUCAGAGGCACCCUGUAACCAACACCAACACUCUGGGCACCUCCUGGGUGUCCUGCCAACCCAUCUUCAACUUCAGCUCUGAGCCUGGAGGUGCAGCCAAGGAAGAGCAGGGGACCUCCCUGUGCCCUGGUGCUGUCUGGUGGCCCUCAGCUCUAACAUCAACUCACAGCCCUUCCACCUGUUUCCCUCAAACAGCCCCCCCGGGGGGGCCUGCACUGGCCUUAGACUCCUGCCAGCUGGAUUUCAUUCCCCCUCACACUCUGAGUGCUACACUCUGGCCUCACUCAGUGGGUUAAGGAUCUGGUGAGCUGUGGUGCAGGUUGCAGACAUGCCUCAGAUCUUGUGGUGCUGUGGCUGUGGUGCUAUGAGUGCUUCUAGUGCUAUGAAGGGCACUACAAACUGGAAUGUUUCUCUUUCAAAGUCUCCUGGAGCACUCAGGCCAACCUACCCUACCCCAGUCCAUUAAAACCCUCUGCCUCCCCA
rnacentral:lncRNA from 9 species